CCUACGGGCGGCAGCAGUGGGGAAUAUUGCACAAUGGGGGGAACCCUGAUGCAGCAACGCCGCGUGGGUGAAGAAGUACUUCGGUAUGUAAAGCCCUGUCAGCAGGGAAGAAAAUGACGGUACCUGACCAAGAAGCCCCGGCUAACUACGUGCCAGCAGCCGCGGUAAUACGUAGGGGGCAAGCGUUAUCCGGAUUUACUGUGUGUAAAGGGAGCGUAGACGGCAAGGCAAGUCUGGAGUGAAAGCCCGUGGCUCAACCCCGGGACUGCUGUGGAAACUGUGUUGCUGGAGUGCAGGAGGGGUAAGCGGAAUGCCUAGUGUAGCGGUGAAAUGCGUAGAUAUUAGGAGGAACACCGGUGGCGAAGGCGGCUUACUGGACUGUAACUGACGUGGAGGCUCGAAGGCGUGGGGAGCAAACAGGAUUAGAUACCCUUGUAGUC
rnacentral:rRNA from 1 species